AAUAAGACCUCCGAUUUCGACUCGUAAAUAGAAUAAACUUUAUUCCUUAUUUGU
rnacentral:tRNA from 1 species